ensembl:lncRNA
CAGCACCACACCAAAAGGAGGCAGCAAAUCAGAGCUAAUCAUAUCUAUCUGCGUUUCAUUUCCACAUGGUAAGAGAGCAACACAAAACAGGUUUAUAAUAUUUGAAUGUUUUAUUUUCUUUAAAUCAAGCAGGUUACAUCAUUAGUUUUUACACAAUCUGAUAUUUGGAGCCAUUUGCAAAUAUGCUCAUAAAUUACAUGAUUUGUAAUCCUUAUCGAAAAAAAAAUCAUAAAAGAAUGAGGUGGUUAAUGAUCAAUAUUGGGAUCAACAGUGAUCACCCUACAAAUGUAGGCAUUACGUGCAGGCAGAAAAAUAAAAGUUCCCAUUAAGGUCUGUGGUGUGAAACACCACAGGUCUGAACUACUCAGGAACACAUGAAAAUGGCACAAAAAUGAAUUUCACUCUCCAACCUUUUGCUAAAGAGACGUUGACAGGCCCACAGAGAGCCUGGAGCUCACGGGACAACAUUCACACACAUUCUGCUUCAUGAAGAGGUCAGAUUAUCGUCAGACCAUAGACAUUACAUGUAAGGACACUGAACAUUUGGCGAACAAAUGCGGCAAACAAAUGUUCAAAUAUCCUCCAAAGCACUUCAAGCCCUCAAAGAAUGAGACUCAAAACACAGAUGAGGUAACAGAAGAAACUUCUAAAUCAAAGUGGAGCGACCCAGGGACAAGUCUGGUUUGGGUUAAAGAUUAUGGAUGGUUAACUUUGUGUAACGUGUUUGGACAACCAAGUUCAGGUAUUAGGCAAACGAGUUUAGGCAGGCGACUUCAGGUAUUAGCCAAGCGAGUUUAGCCAAGCGAGUUUAGGUUUUAUGCAAGCGAGUUUAGGUUUUAUGCAAGCGAGUUUAGACAAGCGAGUUUAGGCAAGCAAGUUUAGGUAACAGUCAAGUUACUUUAGGCCUCACUUUCUUUGCGGUUAAAUUGCGGCAUUAGGUUUAGAAAGAAGGUUAAGAUCCAGGCUCAGGUUUGCUUCCAGCCUCGUCCCUUUAGCCGCUCCCUAUAAAGAGGGGUCCCAGCUACCGUGUUA